GUAUUUCCUUGUUGUGAGUCUAGCGAAUAUUUGAUUAUCUUUAAGUUGAUCCAUAGUAUAUUCAACAGUCUCAUGAGAACAUAAUUUUUGUUGAUGAUUUGUCCAAAGUUUCUAUCAAUCCAUCUUAGCAGCAGAGCCAAGUGUUAGAGUUAUUGCUGCCUGAGUUAUAACAGCUGCCCUGGGAAUCUUGUCUGAACAACAAGUUAACUGCUGUUCCCAGUUAUAUCUGGUCUUUCCCACCCCCAAACAUACACAAAAGAUUUUUGUCAUUCUUGGCACUGGACAACAGAAGUGAUAAGACAUGCCAGCAGAACUCUAAAGGCAGAAUGUCCUUCCACCUGUUUUAUGCUGUAAGACAAACUUCCAAGUGCGAGGCAGUGUGGAGGGCUGUUGCCUUGAAUGGCAGCUGAAUGCACCAGCGGGAUCCUUGGCAGCAAUGCCCAGGCACUGAAGUCGGGCAUUCAGGAGAGCUAAAUGGAGAAAAGAAACUUGAGCAAACUGCUUCCUGGAACACUGAGAACCUGAAUGGGAAAUUAAGAAGAACCAGAUUCUUUCUAUUCUUCCACCAGCCAAGAUUUUCCCACCCAUCUUAAAGCAGCAACUUCAGGAUGGGGGAAUCAAGCAAAACCAUGGUGAAGAGAUUCAUUUAAAGAGGACAAGUGAUUUAUUCUACAUCUCAGGAGACAGUUCCUUAAGGUGAUGAGCACAAAAGGAUCCAUCUUAUACAGUGCUUGCCAGCUUCCAUAAUACUACUCACCACGAUGUUGAAAUCACCUGUUCCAGAACCAGUCCUGUCCUUUGACAAGAAGGAUUUAAUUAUCAGUAGUGGUGGGGACUGGCUGGAGAGAGGAAAAACACUUCAAGGACUCUGCCACCUUUCGUAGAUGGAGAGUGCAAAGUUUGUACCAUGGAACUCCUUCUCUAACAGUUACUCUGUGGCAGUGCCUAUUUCAAACCUCCCUUAACUUCUGAUUGUAUAGAUGUUUGUUUCAUUUGUUCAUCUGUUUGUUCACUUAGUCAGAGAUGUUUUAAGCCUUAAGAGAAAUAGUGGACUAGAAAAUGCCUUGGAAAAGUACAAAGUUCAAUCCAAGUAAACUGUUUUUAAACUAGGAAUUUAUGAAGCCUAAAAUAUAAAAUGUAUAUACAUGGAUAUGCUCUGAAGUGAGGUAGAGGGGUAGAAAUCAACAUUGUGAUAUUGUACUAUAGUUUUGCAAGAUGUUACCAUUGGGGGAAAAUGUUUGAAGGGUAUACGGGAUAUCUCUGCCUUAUUUCUUACAACUGCAUGUGAAUCUACAGUUAUCUCAAAAUAAAAAUUUAAUUAACAAUUGAUUACAAUUAACAGCAUUAA
ensembl:lncRNA LINC03013 long intergenic non-protein coding RNA 3013